AACGAACGCUGGCGGCAUGCCUAACACAUGCAAGUCGAACGAGAUCUUCGGGUCUAGUGGCGCACGGGUGCGUAACACGUGGGAAUCUGCCCUUUGGUUCGGAAUAACAGUUGGAAACGACUGCUAAUACCGGAUGAUGACGAAAGUCCAAAGAUUUAUCGCCAGAGGAUGAGCCCGCGUAGGAUUAGCUAGGUGGUGUGGUAAAGGCGCACCAAGGCGACGAUCCUUAGCUGGUCUGAGAGGAUGAUCAGCCACACUGGGACUGAGACACGGCCCAGACUCCUACGGGAGGCAGCAGUGGGGAAUAUUGGACAAUGGGCGCAAGCCUGAUCCAGCAAUGCCGCGUGAGUGAUGAAGGCCUUGGGGUUGUAAAGGUCUUUUACCCGGGAUGAUAAUGACAGUACCGGGGGAAUAAGCUCCGGCUAACUCCGUGCCAGCCGCCGCCGUAA
rnacentral:rRNA from 1 species